rnacentral:rRNA from 1 species
UGGACUUUAAUCGCGCAGCAUAGGUGGGAGGCGUUGAGCAUGCUCUUGCGGGAACAUAGGAGCCAUCAGUGAGAUACCACUCUUUUAAUGUUAGAUUUCUAACCUUGAACCAUUAUCUGGUCAAGGAACAGUUUCAGGCGGGCAGUUUGACUGGGGCGGUCGCCUCCUAAACGGUAACGGAGGCGUACAAAGGUUUCCUCUGAACGAAUAGAAAUCGUAUCUAGAGUAUAAAGGCAUAAGGAAGCUUGACUGUGAGACCUACAAGUCGAGCAGGGACGAAAGUCGGUCUUAGUGAUCUGACGGUACUGAGUGGGAAGGCCGUCACUCAACGGAUAAAAGUUACUCUAGGGAUAAC